rnacentral:rRNA from 1 species
AGCAGCCGCGGUAAUUCCAGCUCCAAUAGCGUAUAUUAAAGUUGUUGCAGUUAAAAAGCUCGUAGUUGAAUUUCGGGAUCAGAUUGUCGGUCGUGCCUCGGUACGCACUGGCAUUAUUGGUUCCUACCUCCUGAAGAACCGCGAUGUCAUUAAUUUGGUGUCGUGGGGAAUCAGGACUGUUACUUUGAAAAAAUUAGAGUGUUUAAAGCAGGCGCACGCUUGAAUACAUUAGCAUGGAAUAAUGAAAUAGGACGUUUGAUUCUACUUUGUUGGUUUCUAGGAUCGACGUAAUGAUUAAUAGGGAUAGUUGGGGGCAUUAGUAUUCAAUUGUCAGAGGUGAAAUUCUUGGAUUUAUUGAAGACUAACUACUGCGAAAGCAUUUGCCAAGGAUGUUUUCAUUAAUCAAGAACGAAAGUUAGGGGAUCGAAGACGAUCAGAUACCGUCGUAGU